UACGUAGGGUGCAAGCGUUGUCCGGAAUUAUUGGGCGUAAAGAGCUCGUAGGCGGUCUGUCGCGUCUGCUGUGAAAACUCAGGGCUUAACCCUGAGCUUGCAGUGGGUACGGGCAGACUAGAGUGCGGUAGGGGAGACUGGAAUUCCUGGUGUAGCGGUGAAAUGCGCAGAUAUCAGGAGGAACACCGGUGGCGAAGGCGGGUCUCUGGACCGCAACUGACGCUGAGACUCGAAAGCGUGGGGAGCAAACAGG
rnacentral:rRNA from 1 species